rnacentral:lncRNA from 1 species
UAUUUGUAUAGCCUAUAAAAAAAUUACAUUACAUUAAUUAUUUUUUUUUUUUUUUUUUUUUUUUUUUUUUUUUACUUAUAAUCAAUUUAAACGAUUAUUUAUUCAUUUGCUUAUUUUUUAUUUUUCUAGGAAUGACGUUUAAAUAUUUUUCUUUAUUCUUGAAAGAAGAAUAUAAAAUUUCCCCCACAUUAAUGUGUAUUCUUAACAUUGUUAUUCCUUUGUUAUUAACCCUUUUUACUUAUAGUACCAAAAAAAAAAAAAAAAAAAAAAAAAAAAAAAAAAAAAAAUAUAUAUGUACAUAUAUAUGUGCAUAUAUACAGAUAUACAUAUUGAUUCAAUAUUUCAAAUACAUAAAAAAUUGCACAUAUCUAGUAUUCAUAUUAUUUGGUAUGUUCCUUUAAAAAAAGCCCUUUUUUUUUAUGAUUUACCAUAGUAACACGUUUUUUUCUUUUGCUGGCAUUAAUUUAUUUAUUUAUUUAUAAAUUUAUUUAUUCAUUUUAUUCUAAUUCAGUUUCUCAAAGAUUAUCUAAAUCAAUAGGGAGGGCACAAGUUUCUUUUUUUUUUACUACCAUUGGCUUUGUGUAAAUAUUUAAAAUUUUAUCUUAAAAUAAACAAAAAUACUGUGCAUAUAUUUAUAAUCAUUUUUUUUCUUUCACAAUUAUAUAUAUAUAUAUAUAUAUAUAUAUAUAUAUGCACAUUUCCUAAUCAGGUUAUUAUGUUCUUUGCUUUAUAUAAAUGAUUAUGAAGACGUUCUAAAAAUUCACAUAUUUAGGUACUUAUAAAAUAAAAUUAUUUAUAUUUAUAUAUGCACAGAUAUAUAUGUAUGUACACAUUUGAAUAUUACUUAUAUCACGUCUUUAACUCCCUUUGUUUAACUCCCUUUUUUUAUAGGAGCGUUUUUCAAAAUUGUACUAACUCUAUAGAUAAAAGUAUUUUAUACGACUUUAUAGACACUGAAAAAUACACAGGACGAUGGAUGGGUUUACAAAGUUUCUACUAUUUGGUUUGGUCAAUCAGUGCAUAUUUUGGUAUGAAUACAUUAACAUAUAAAAAAAAAAAGCACAUUUCUUUUUUUUUUUUCUUUUUUUUUUUUACAGUUUAUGGCUAGCCCAUUUACUAGCAUGAAUAAUUUUUUUUUUUUUUUUUUUUUUUUUUUUUUUUUUUUUUUUUUUUUUUUGUUAUAUAGGUGGUUGGAUAUCUGACAUUUCUUCUUACAGAAAUACAUUUAAAAUCACAAGUAAGCAAUUCAUAUUUGUUCUUUUAUUGUCAUAAUUAUAUAAUUGUUUCAUUAAAUGUGUUGAUGUUAUUUUAUUCGUACCUGAUAUAUAUCUCAUUAAUAAUAUAUUUUAAUUUGCAAUAAUGCGCAAUUCAUUAUUUUUUUAUCAUUUCGAUUUUUGUCAAUUCUGUUAUUAUUAUUUUUAUUUUAUUUUAGCUUGGUUUUACCUAUUAUCACUAAUAUUAUAUGCCCCUCUUUUGUGGCUUGUACCAAUAAAAGAAUCUUUUUAACAAAAUGAUAGCGGACC